CACGUGGGCAACCUACCUUAUAGUUUGGGAUAACUCCGGGAAACCGGGGCUAAUACCGAAUAAUCUAUUUCACUUCAUGGUGAAAUACUGAAAGACGGUUUCGGCUGUCGCUAUAAGAUGGGCCCGCGGCGCAUUAGCUAGUUGGUGAGGUAACGGCUCACCAAGGCGACGAUGCGUAGCCGCCCUGAGAGGGUGAUCGGCCACACUGGGACUGAGACACGGCCCAGACUCCUACGGGAGGCAGCAGUAGGGAAUCUUCCACAAUGGGCGAAAGCCUGAUGGAGCAACGCCGCGUGAGUGAAGAAGGUUUUCGGAUCGUAAAACUCUGUUGUAAGGGAAGAACAAGUACAGUAGUAACUGGCUGUACCUUGACGGUACCUUAUUAGAAAGCCACGGCUAACUA
rnacentral:rRNA from 1 species